GAUGAAGAACGCAGCUAAAUGCGAUAAGUAAUGUUAAUUGCAGAAUUCAGUGAAUCAUCGAAUCUUUGAACGCACAUUGCGCCCGCCAGUAUUCUGGCGGGCAUGCCUGUUCGAGCGUCAUUUCAACCAUCAAGCCCCCGGCUUGUGUUGGGGACCUGCGGCUGCCGCAGGCCCUGAAAACCAGUGGCGGGCUCGCUAGUCACUCCGAGCGUAGUAAUACAUCUCGCUCAGGGCGUGCUGCGGGUUCCGGCCGUUAAAAAGCCUUAUUUACCCAAGGUUGACCUCGGAUCAGGUAGGAAGACCCGCUGAACUUAAGCAUAUCAAUAAGCGGAGGA
rnacentral:misc_RNA from 1 species